rnacentral:rRNA from 1 species
AUUGAACGCUGGCGGCAUGCCUUACACAUGCAAGUCGAACGGCAGCAUGGGUACUUGCACCUGAUGGCGAGUGGCGAACGGGUGAGUAAUGCAUCGGAACGUACCCGGAAGUGGGGGAUAACGUAGCGAAAGUUACGCUAAUACCGCAUAUUCUGUGAGCAGGAAAGUGGGGGAUCGCAAGACCUCGCGCUUCCGGAGCGGCCGAUGUCGGAUUAGCUAGUUGGCGGGGUAAAGGCCCACCAAGGCAACGAUCCGUAGCGGGUCUGAGAGGAUGAUCCGCCACACUGGGACUGAGACACGGCCCAGCCCCCUACGGGAGGCAGCAGUGGGGAAUUUUGGACAAUGGGGGCAACCCUGAUCCAGCCAUGCCGCGUGAGUGAAGAAGGCCUUCGGGUUGUAAAGCUCUUUCGGCCGGGAAGAAAUCGCACAGGUUAAUACCUUGUGUGGAUGACGGUACCGGAAUAAGAAGCACCGGCUAACUACGUGCCAGCCGCCGCGGUAAAAC